GGUGCUGUACUGGAGCAUGAGGCAAACACACAUCUGAAGUAGGUGGAAUUUGAGGAUGUAUUAGCCAAAGGGAUUCAUAAAAUCCCCAUUUUCCUACUCCUCCACAAGGAAAUGGGAACUCUAACCACUAUAUCAGAGAAACCUUAAAGUAAAAACCAACUAUGAGCCUCUGGCUUUGCACACAUUUACACAGCAAAUAAAGGUUUGAUUACAGCCUCAGCUGCAUUUUCACUAUAACACACCUAGCAAACAGCCCACCCACAGACUUCAGUGCAGACUAAAGCUACGAGUACCAGCCUCAGUACCAGAAUCACAGAAAACUCGGGUCAGAAGGACUCUGUCUAGUUCAGCCUCCUGCUCAAGAGCCUCCAUCACUUCACAGUGAGAACUCUGCUUGCCACACUGAAGCUAAGGGAGCAGCUCAGGGGAAGAGAAGACAAAUUGGAUACUAUUUCAACCCCUGUUUUCGCUAAUACUCAGCUGCUUUAUUGGAACUAAAAAGGUCACAAGCAAAACGCCUCUCAGUUUAUGAGAAGGGAGAGUUUCUGUACCCCCCAAAAAUCCCAGGCUGCACGUCUCUGGAUCAAUGACUAGUGUUACUACAGUCUGCUGUGGAAAAGCUCAGCCCCAGCCAAAGGCUCAGGGCCCAUCUCCAACAUAUUUGCAGAGGCCCUGUAAGGAAAAUCCUUCCACGAGGCCCCCGAGUGACACUGCGGUGAAGCUGCAGCGCCAGCUCCCAUCGCCCACCCUCCUGCACCUACGUGCCCACAGGAAAGCACAAAGCAGCUAUUUUGCAGUCUCACUGCAGAGGUGGGUCAGCUCCAGAGGGAAUAAGCAUCAGAAAUGCAAGGAAGUUCACAAAGAAAAGGAAGGGAAAAGUGAGACUCAACAACGUUUCGCUAAAUGCAUCACCCUACAGCCGAAUUUCCGCUCUGCCAUACUCUGUGGCUGAAGUUGGCCAUUCCUUCAUGCUCGGGGGCAACAUCUAGUCCCAGACAGGUGUCCAAGCAAAACACAAGGAGUCAGACGUGCUUGCUCCACACCUAACACGUCAAACCCUCCCAAACCCAGGGGCUGCUUCAAAGCUACACAUGCAUUUACAAACAUACAUAUAUUAACACCCCCAUUCUGGCAUUUCCUGCCUGCUGGACCAGAUCCAAACCCGAGCCCACGAGCUGGUGAUGCCUACUGUAACAUAUCUCCAGGAAUUACAAAAAUCUUUGUCUCUCUGUCCCACAACAGUCUCUGACAGUUUCUGAUAUCUCUUUCUCAAAGGCACACUAAGCAAUUUAACAUCUGCUAUUUGAUAAGCGCUGACAUACGAGGCAUCCUCAAGUCUUCAGACCGCGAACAAGAGAACGACUUGCUCACUUUCAUACGCUCAUGGCAAAAUUGAGCCACUGCCAGAGUCACUGAAGCACACGCUGCCUAAAACCUGGAACACACGUGAGGGGGAGAGAGGAGAAACAGAGAUGAGAAACAGCCAGCAAAUCUUACCAGGAGAGGUGGGCUGCUAAUAAACCAAACCAUUAGGAUUGCAACAAAAACAAUCAAGCACACGGAGUGUCACAGUGAGAAACAGUGAGUCACACUCCCAUACAAAGGCACAUUUCUUUGCUCUUGCAUGACAACAUUCUAAGUGUAUCUUUUUCCUUUUUACCAGCCAGAGGCAUAAAACCACUCGCAGACAGACCCAAGGUCUCCAAAAUGUAAACAUCUACAACAAAAAUACACACUCCUGAAACAAAAACACUUCAGGAAGUUCCGGUUACACUUAAGAGUAAACCAAGGCUUUAAGCAGAACAGUAAUUUGUGUAACUGUUUAAGCAUCGACCCGCUAAUCUAAUCAACCACAUUAACAUGAACAUUCCCAGAUUUAUUUAAGAGUUUUCACCUUUUUAAGUAGUACAGAUAGUGAAUACAAUGGAAAUUAUUUCCCUUUUCAGGUUACUCACCUAUUCUGAUUUAUAUCUUGACAUCAAUUCCUACAAAUAUCCAGCUCUACCUAACAUGCACCUGUGGCACUGGGAAUCCUCCCCACGAAACACUGAUUACCAAAUACACAGCAUUCUCUGGUGCUCCCUAUAAAUUUCAUAUAAAAGACAGUAAAGUCAUCCUGCAGAACAGUAAUUUCAGAACAGUGUGACAUCCAACACUUCUGGCACCAGUGUGACACUGUGCUCCUUGCCUGUGUGCCCACAUGUAAAACACGCACAGCCACGCUUCUCCAUUUCUCACAGCUCGCAUAAUCUGGUUCAUCAAACCUAAUCAAGCCCUUUAAAAAUGUCAUGCAAAAGCAAAUCCAGAGUUUCUGGAUUCUGCUUACAAAGCACAACUUGGGCAUUUUGUGCUGCCGAGUAAAGUAAACAGCAAUUGCUUCGAGUUAUGAAAGGAUUUAAUACGCCAGAAACUCCAAGUCACCGUCAUGUAAAACCCUUCUAAAUGCCUUCUGCCACACUGUUUGCUGACUCCUUGGCAUUGCAGAUGAACUGAUGCAUCUUUGGAAGUCAAGAGAGCAAAACCAAACAGAAAAAAUACCUAACUUUACCAGAGAAGAACUUCAUUCAUUACUGGGUACAGCAAAACAAGCACAUAAAACCAGGGACAACCUAAGGCAAACACGGAACGGCAUUUCAGAAGAUGGAAAAGCUCUGGGUGUGCAGUGGCUAACAGGAGUUGGAUUAUCAUUUUCCUGCAAACAAGACUAUAUGAUGUCAUACAAACUGCUCUGACUGUACUGGUGUGGAAUUAUCUCGAAAGGAUUGCUGAUCUACAGAGAGAGGGAUAAAACUGGGUAAAACAAAUUGUAAGGCUUGUAGUGAGCCUCUGUUACUCCCAGAAGUGCCUGUUGUUCACAGCAGUCCUGGCAACAGCAGGUUCCAGAACAGCAAGCCCUUCCUUGAAGCAGCAGCUCAGUCCCAUUUCAGUAUGGCACUGUCACAUAACACGGACUUUGCACAGGAGUUUUAUAGAGUUUACACACAGAAAGAUUUAAAAAAAAAUCAGUAACGACAUUUCAUUCACUUGAUACCUGGUGAUGUUGGUUCAGCUCCUGCAGAUGCCCUGCCUGAGUUGGUUAUGGGAAGCCAACCUGCUUUACACGGAGGAAGGUCAGUUCUUGAUACUGCAAGAAUGAUUUUCUGCUGCUGGCACUGUGACUGAUGGGAUGACUCAGGCCUGCCAGUUGCCUUGUCCUUGUGAGCAGAGCUGAAAAUCUCUUGCCACUCCGUAACUUUUCUCCUAGAUUCACUUCCCCUCUCCAACUCUCUCCUCUAAAAAAAUAAAAAGGAAAAUGUUCUCCCAGUCUCUCCAGCAGCCCUGGUUUGGGAUAGCUAAAGGAGUUCAGUGCAAACAAACAGUAUGGAUGUUUUCUCCUCAGCCCCACCCUCCCACAGUCACUCCUUUUCCUGCCUGGAGACCCUUGUAGGUACACACAGUCUCCUACAUUUCCGAGCUCACAUUUUUAGCACACCUGGUAGCAGGCAAACUCUCGGGUGCCUCUUGACAGCCACUGAUCACUGGUCUAUAUCCCAUACAGGGCCAGAACUUGCAGGUGGCUCUGCCUUCCAGGCUGGCCCAGCUUGGGACAAGGGUCUGGUUGCUAUGAUUAAGAUCUGUGCCACGUUUCAGGAAAUCCUCAAGGAGCAGAGGCCUAAAAAUUUGCUUUAUAAAGAGAAAUAUGAAAUACAAGGCAAUCAGCCCUAAACAGAAGGUGGAGUGAGCUGGGAAUGAUGAUACUGGGACGCAAGGGAGAAACGAGGCACCUGACUGGGACUUGGUUCCAGCAGGGAGCGAGAUGUGCCAACUCCCUGAAAUCUCUGCCAUCUCCCAAUUUCCCAAGCACAUCACAUGUAAAAGCUUAGCUCUCCCAUCACACCAUACUCUACACAAACAGCCUUUGUGUCCAGAGGA